rfam:Desulfobulbaceae bacterium A2 Ga0073110_1394, whole genome shotgun sequence.
CGAAUCCCGUCCCGGAAGGUCUAGCCCCCCACCGGGUAGCGAGUCCUUGGAGCGUUGCGGGUAACUUCGACGUUCAAGCGUAGGACAGCGAGACGACAGGCCGUAAGCCGCAAGGCUGAAGUGAUUGAGCCCCGAAAUCAUCGAGCCGGGAAGGAUGACGUUGUUGCGAUGGCGGAAAUCAACACGGGCGGGCGAGAGACAGGCGAGCCCCAACCCGUUUCCCCGGGGUCUGAGAGCA